AGCGAACGCUGGCGGCGUGCCUAACACAUGCAAGUCGAACGUGAAAAGGGAAACCUGAGUAAAGUGGCGUACGGGUGAGUAACGCGUAGGUAAUCUACCCCAGAAUCUGGAAUAACCUGCCGAAAGGCGGGCUAAUACUGGAUAGAGCGAGGGAACUCGUAAGAGAGUUUUUCGGGAAAGGGAGCCCGCAAGGGCCUUCGUUCUGGGAUGAGCCUGCGUCUCAUUAGCUAGUUGGUAAGGUAACGGCUUACCAAGGCGAUGAUGAGUAGCUGGUCUGAGAGGAUGAUCAGCCACACUGGAACUGAAACACGGUCCAGACGCCUACGGGAGGCAGCAGUGGGGAAUCUUGCGCAAUGGACGAAAGUCUGACGCAGCCACGCCGCGUGAGGGAAGAAGGCCUUCGGGUUGUAAAGCUCUGUCGGAUGGGACGAACAUCUUCAUAGUGAAUAGCUAUGAGGACUGACGGUACCAUCAAAGGAAGCACCGACUAACUCCGUG
rnacentral:rRNA from 1 species